AUUGGUUGAACAUCACCCCCAGCUUUGGCCAUGACCAUGGGUGAGAUUUGGCACCCAGAGCCUCCAGGGGCCUCAACCCACUGUGCACUGCCCCAUGUGCAUCAGUGAAACCCAGGCCCUGAUGUGC
rnacentral:snoRNA from 1 species